rnacentral:lncRNA from 1 species
UGUCCAUGGUUGCUGCUGCCUAUGACGCCAUAAACCUUGAGCAGCACUCGGGUGCUCAUCCUCGCCUUGGUGUCGUGGAUGACAUUCUCAUUCAUCCACUCGCGCGAGCUUCAUUGGAUGAAGCUGCUUGGCUUGCUAAAAAGGUUGCUGCUGAUAUUGGAAACCGGUUUCAAGGUUAGUAAUGACCUUUUUUUUUUCAAAUGAUAUGCUAUACUGACUCGAAAAUGCAAAUGCAUACAGUUAGAGGCAAAUCUAGGAUAGGUUCUAUGGGUUCAACUGAACCUAUUGCUUUAGGCACAAACUACGUAUAUAUGUGUAACAAAAAGAUAAAAAGUAUACAUCUAAUAAGAUCACACUCAUUCUGAACCCAAUGACUUUAAAUCCUUGAUUUACCUUUGGAUGCAGUACCUGUUUAUUUAUAUGCUGCUGCUCACCCAAUGGGGAAAGCACUGGACACCAUAAGGAGGGAGCUAGGAUAUUAUCGGCCUAACUUCAGGGGCAUCCAAUGGGCAG